UCGCUGGCAUCGUGACUGGGGUCCUGGUCGGGGUGGCUCUGGUGGCCGCUCUGGGGUGUUUCCUGCUCCACACAAGAACUGGAAGGGCUGGUGUCCAGCAAGGCCUCAGAGACCACCGCACCCCAGCAUCAACAGCCAGCCCCUGUUUCUGGCCACAAAACUGCUGUUCCCAUCUACCAGGAAUUACUAAACCCUGACCUGGACAUCUACUGCCGGGUCGACCACACAGCCGUUGGGGGUUCCUAGUUUCCACCAGACAAGGCUCCAUAUUGAUGGAGGGAGGGUCCCCAUAGGACCCCACACCAUGGGCAAUGGAGAAAAGAGCUGGGAGACUCUGGCACCUGGAGGGGAGGGGUCCCAUGGGCUUUGGAGACCCAGAAAGGCUGCUUGAAUGCUGAAUGGCCAGAACCAGGCUGCCUGUGUCCAGGACAGGGGUUUCCAGAGAGAGGGAAGCUCCCCUGUGGGUCACCUGGAAAGGCGCUGAAUAAAGACCCGGGACCAUGAACUAAAAGCGAAAA